ACAUAGCUGUCCUACCAUAUCAGUUAGUGACAUACAUACCAAAAUAACUGGCCAGUAUCACAAUUCUCUACACUUGAUACAUAACUCUGAUUGUUUUCUCCGUCUGGCUGAUGGUGGGAAAAGUGUGUCACAUUUAGGGAACGGCCAAAAACAAAUAAUACCCUUGGUCACUUCACAUAACUUUGUCAUUACCGGGGUCAGAGUUCAUAUUCCGUUACUAGUGCUGUGAUAGAGUAAGGGAAUAUAAAAAAUACGGGGAAAGUUAACAAGCUCGUUUCGCGGAAGUUAAAACACAAUGGCGGGGACACCUAUAGCACGUUCGUCUAACAGAUUGGGACAUUACUUAACAAGAAAGCAAGAAUAUAUUUUUAAUCUACUAUAUGAUACAAUGCACGAUAAAAAUCUCUCACGACAAGAUUUUAAAGAGCUACAGAAGAGAAUAUCAAGUUUAAAGAAUCUACGUGCCACGUCAGAAGAGAAUCGUAAAAUUCAAACACGAGUUGGUAGCAUAUGGUCUGGUUUAAUGAAAAGUUCUCGCCAUUAUAGAAGUAACCCACUACAGUUACACCUGAGUGUACCCGAAUGGUUAUCCUACUGGAGUGAUUUUGUGAAAUCAGCCAGAUCGUGUAAAGGAUGGCCAGCUAUGUCAGAUGAUGGCCAAACAGAUUAUACGUGGCAUACUGAAUUUAUAGAUCUUAUAUUCGAUGUUGUUGAUACCAAAGGUGAUGAUUACAUUGAUAAAGAAGAAUAUACGUUAUUUUUAACGGUUUUUGGUCUGUCAGCUGACAACUGUGAAAAAUCGUUUACCUGUAUUACUCGACAACAGGUUGUCUUGUUUAUGUUUUGCAGACUAACGGACACAGACUGGAUAAGAAUAGGUUCAAAGAUUUGUGGUUUGAAUUUUUAACAAGUGAAGACGAGGAUUCUCCUGGCAGCUUUCUAUUUGGAAAUCCUUUAAUGACAUUGGAUGACCAGAAUUAGAAAUAGAAGGAAUAUAUAGAACAACACACUUAAUAGCAGAAUAGUUUAAUGUAAAUGAAUAGACAUUAUAAAAACAAAAUUUCUUAUUAGAAAUUAUUGAGUUGUCUUGAGUUUAUAGAACGACAUUUCGUAUAGUCCUGUACAAGUAGUAUUUUGAUGUUAAUAAAAUAUCUAUUGAAAUUGA